AACGCUAGCUACAGGCUUAACACAUGCAAGUCGAGGGGAAACGAUAUUGGAAGCUUGCUUCCGAUAGGCGUCGACCGGCGCACGGGUGAGUAACGCGUAUCCAACCUGCCCACCACUUGGGGAUAACCUUGCGAAAGUAAGACUAAUACCCAAUGAUAUCUCUAGAAGACAUCUGAAAGAGAUUAAAGAUUUAUCGGUGAUGGAUGGGGAUGCGUCUGAUUAGCUUGUUGGCGGGGUAACGGCCCACCAAGGCUACGAUCAGUAGGGGUUCUGAGAGGAAGGUCCCCCACAUUGGAACUGAGACACGGUCCAAACUCCUACGGGAGGCAGCAGUGAGGAAUAUUGGUCAAUGGACGAGAGUCUGAACCAGCCAAGUAGCGUGCAGGAUGACGGCCCUAUGGGUUGUAAACUGCUUUUAUAAGGGAAUAAAGUGAGUCUCGUGAGACUUUUUGCAUGUACCUUAUGAAUAAGGACCGGCUAAUUCCGUGCCAGCAGCCGCGGUAAUACGGAAGGUCCGGGCGUUAUCCGGAUUUAUUGGGUUUAAAGGGAGCGUAGGCCGGAGAUUAAGCGUGUUGUGAAAUGUAGAUGCUCAACAUCUGCACUGCAGCGCGAACUGGUUUCCUUGAGUACGCACAAAGUGGGCGGAAUUCGUGGUGUAGCGGUGAAAUGCUUAGAUAUCACGAAGAACUCCGAUUG
rnacentral:rRNA from 1 species